CAAAUUCCUUAUCCCAAACCAAUGAGGGACGACAUAAUUUGAUUUGAAUCUAAGUUAAAAUUCUUCAUGUAUAACGAUUAAGUAGACGUAACCUAAAUCAACUCAUAACUUAAAUGAUAAUCUGAGUUGAACUCACUUAAAAAAACAAGACCCCAAAUGAUUUACAACCCUAAAUACCUCCAAUUCAAAUCACUUAAACCUACCAACUCGACCUAUUUUCACUUUCCACCUCUAGAUGCUUCAAACAAGUGAUAAUUGUUAAAAAGCUUCACUCAACUUAAACGAAAUCAACAUAUAAAAGAAAUGUCUAAAAAAGGUGCACAUAUGGUAUGAGAAUUCAUAGUUUUGGUGUUGAACUUUGUUAUGAGUUUGGAAAGGUACGGAUCAAAUAUAUGUUGGAAUAUAAAAUAUGGAUCAAUAGACUCAUGGUUACAAUGUUUAAACAUGAAUCACGUUAAUCAAUUCACCACGGUGAUACUCCAAUUAAUGUUAAAAUGAUUACCUUGUGUUGCCUUAAGUUUAGACUUGGGCCUUAUUUGGCUGGGAGUAAGUAGGUUAAGGAAGUAACUUUUUGGGAAGUGUAGAAAAUGAUCUCGUUUGGUUUGCAUUAUUAAACCAACUUCCCAGAAAGUUGAGCAUAAGUGAAGUAACUUACCAAGGUGUGACUUGAAAAGUUACACUUCUCUAGUUAAGUGUAAUGAAUUUAUCAAUUUAUCCUUCAAUUUGUUACACUUAAAUUAUUUUAUGGGCAUUAUUGUGUUUUGCAAUUUAAAACUAUUUCCUAAGAAGUUAAUUUGUAUAGCAAACACAUUUAUAUCAUACUUUUCAAGAAAUAAGUUCCCUAAAAGUAUACUUUCUGGGAAGUAUACUUCCCAGGUAAUAAAGUAUUUUGAGCUAAAUAAGGCCUUAUAGUCAUAUAGAAAUAGUUGUGCCAUUAAGGAUUUUAAAAAUGGUUGCUUUUUCUCUCAUUUUUUUUUCUUUGUUUCUCUUUUCCUAGAGUUCAAAGGCCUUAUCUUCUUUUUUGUCACAAUAAACGGUCUUCCUUUACCCCUCAAAGUGGGGGAAGGCCAUCCUUUCCCUGGGUUGUGGGUUCCCUUUCCAUCGUAGGUGGAGUUGUAAAUAGUAUUUUGGCUUUAGACUUUACCCGGCAGAGAUAAGAGGAGAGUUUGUUUUGUGUUGUUUUAGCUCAUGUGGAUUUUAGUUUUUUUUCCUUGUUCAGUAUUGUGAAUCUAUUGCAUGCAAGUGGUUCUGAGGUAAAGUGGUCCAAUAGGUUAUCUUUGGAUCUACUUAAAGGUGUGAUUGUUUAUGUGGGAGGAGUUCGGAGGAGCAAGUCACCUCGAGGUCUCUACUAAUACCUGCAGGUGCUCGUUGACCCAAAAUGAGAGCUAUGCUUCCUUUUUCACUUUUAGCACUGAAGCAGAUUGACACAGCUUAUAGCAUGGAAAAGGAUCAAUACACAAUUAAACUCUUGAAAA
rnacentral:misc_RNA from 1 species